GACGAACGCUGGCGGCGUGCUUAACACAUGCAAGUCGAACGGAAAGGCCCUGCUUUUGUGGGGUGCUCGAGUGGCGAACGGGUGAGUAACACGUGAGUAACCUGCCCUUGACUUUGGGAUAACUUCAGGAAACUGGGGCUAAUACCGGAUAGGAGCUCCUGCUGCAUGGUGGGGGUUGGAAAGUUUCGGCGGUUGGGGAUGGACUCGCGGCUUAUCAGCUUGUUGGUGGGGUAGUGGCUUACCAAGGCUUUGACGGGUAGCCGGCCUGAGAGGGUGACCGGCAAAAUGGGAGCGGAGGUACGACCAGGACACGGGGGGGAGGCAGAGGGGGGAAGUAGGCCACAAGGGGCGGAAGCCUGAAGCAGCAGCGCCGGGGGGGGGAGGGGGGCCGUGGGAUUGUAGCGCGGUUUCGCUGGGGAGGAAGGGGGAGGGAGGGAAAGGGGAAAAGAAACACCGCCAAACUACGUC
rnacentral:rRNA from 1 species